rnacentral:sRNA from 1 species
AGAACUCCCAAAAGCUCAAUCAAGCCAGGAUUAAAUUAUACUUCCUCCUUUCUGAGUCUAAAAUGAAACUGCAGCUCAGUUAUCACGCAAUUUAUUUGUCAAGAUCUAAGAAGAGAUUCCUUUCCUUAGAUUCUAUUCUCUAGUUCUUAGAGGAAACUACAUGAAAAAUUGAAAGUGAACUGUUGAAAACAGUCUUAAUGUACAAGGAAAGAAGUAUGCAAGUUUAUAUUUUAUUCUAAAAGAGCAGGCCUCACAGAGUUAUCUGCUGUUACAAGAUAUAAUAUGAGCAGACAUAAACUCUCACAUCAAGACUGGGAGAACCCAACAGCCUCCACUUGCCUAUUUAAUAAAAAGAGGAAAUAAACAACAGAAAAACAUGUUGAGAAAAUACCCGUGCUUUGGAUAGGAACAGUUUUGAAGAGUCAACCAAUUCACAGUGUUUUUUUACUUUUGUAUUUUGAUGACUAAUUGUUUGGUGCUGCCAUGAAUAUUUCAUACCUGGAACCAUGUUUUGGUAACAAUAGAAUGUGAGCACAAUGAACCAAAUCAGCAACUGUGUACUUGUGGUCUUGGGACGGCAUGAAGAAGAUCAGGAGAAAGCCUACUUCUUUAGGUAUGAAAAACACAGCUUGCAUACCAUAUAUUUUUUUAUACCAAGAAAGUUUUUGAUUUGGGUUUAUUUAAUUUUCUCUUUCUGAAUAAGCUUUGGCCAUGGUUUUGGAAAGGAAAUGCCUCAAUGGGGACACCCUAGUCACAUCUUUCAAAAAUUGUCUACAGUAGCACAAGAAAUUAAGAUGAUGGUAGCCUUGGAAACCAAUAUAAUAUAAUACUUGUCAUAUUUCUUGAGUAAUAAGUUCUCUUUUUCCUCCUUUCCAGGCCACAGUGACCUAUGAAAUGACACUCUAUGCAACUGGGAUUUAUGUAUGGAAAAAUUGAGCAGGCAGUAUAUCUACACAAAUUAUCUAAAAUGAUAAAGAGAUAAGAAGAAAGACAUAUCCAAGCUUAACAAAUACAUGGCUUAGCCUGAGCCAACAAUGUCUCCACUGAAAUAUUCCUAGGCCUAGGCACAGAAGAUUCUAGCAGAUAUACGAUGUAAUCUUCUGUACUCUUGGACCCGGAAGGCAUCAGCUUCUAGACUUUCUCUGUUAUCUUAGGCCUAGAAAUCUUCAGCCACUGAGAUUUACUGCACUCACUCUUUCUGAACUCUGGUUAGCUGGUUCAAGCUCAGCUGUUGUGGCUCAAACUCCUCUCCAAGCUGACUUAUUCAAAUGGGUUCCUCUUAGCUUCUGACUGUAUUGCUCUGCUUGGAAAAACGGCCUCUGAAUGACACAAACUCAACUACACUGACUGUAUGAAGUGACCAGAACUAAAACUGAACAAAACUGCUGGAACUCAACUGAACUGCAAGGAACUGAAAUGAACUCUCUCCCUUCACUGCUCUUAGUUACCCCCUCUUUCCUGGGUGUUGGCUAGACCCCAUUUCUGACACAUACAGUCAAAUCUCUUUUCUAUUCAUCACUUCUUUCCCUUCUACAAAAUAAACUUACCUUCAUUGCUUAGGAUCCUAA